rnacentral:tRNA from 1 species
GCCUUGAUGGCUCAGUUGGUUAAGUAACUGACUUCAGCUCAGUUCAUGAUCUCACAGUUUGUGAGUUCAAGCCCCACAUGGGGCU